rnacentral:rRNA from 1 species
AGAGUUUGAUCCUGGCUCAGAACGAACGGUAGCGGCGUGGAUUAGGCAUGCAAGUCGAACGGGAUCCAGGCUUCGGUCUGGUGAGAGUGGCGAAAGGGUGAGUAAUGCUUAGAUAACCCACCUUUGGCUCCGGGAUAACCGAGGGAAGCUUCGGCUAAUACCGGAUAGGGUCGGCGGAUCGCAUGAUCUGCCGAAUAAAGAGGCCUCUGAAUAUGCUAUUCGGCCAAAGACGGGUCUAAGUCCUAUCAGCUUGUUGGUGAGGUAAUGGCUCACCAAGGCGACGACGGGUAGCCGGCCUGAGAGGGCGAUCGGCCACACUGGAACUGAGACACUGUCCAGACUCCUACGGGAGGCUGCAGUCGAGAAUCUUCCGCAAUGGGGGCAACCCUGACGGAGCGACGCCGCGUGCGGGACGAAGGCCUUCGGGUUGUAAACCGCUGUCGUAGGUUAAGAAAUGUCUUGUCGUGAAAGCGGCUUGACUUGACAAAGGCCUAAAAGGAAGCCACGGCUAACUUCGUGCCAGCAGCCGCGGUAAGACGAAGGUGGCAACCGUUGUUCGGAAUCACUGGGCAUAAAGAGCACGUAGGCGGGUCUUUAAGUCGGGUGUGAAAUCCCUCGGCCCAACCGAGGAACUGCGCCCGAUACUGAAGGCCUUGAGGGCAGGAGGGGAGUGUGGAAUUCCUGGUGGAGCGGUGAAAUGCGUUGAUAUCAGGAGGAACACCGGCGGCGAAGGCGACACUCUGGCCUGCUUCUGACGCUGAGGUGCGAAAGCUAGGGGAGCAAACGGGAUUAGAUACCCCGGUAGUCCUAGCCGUAAACGAUGAGCACUAGGUAGGGGGGAUCCCAAUGCCUCCCUGCUGGAGUUAAUAUUUUAAGUGCUCCGCCUGGGGAGUAUAGUCGCAAGGCUGAAACUCAAAGGAAUUGACGGGGGCUCACACAAGCGGUGGAGGAUCUGGCUUAAUUCGAGCCUACGCGAAGAACCUUAUCCAGGCCUUGACAUGUA